rnacentral:rRNA from 1 species
AUGCACGCUGGCAGCGUGCCUAAUACAUGCCAGUCGAGCGAACAGAUGAGGAGCUUGCUCCUCUGACGUUAGCGGCGGACGGGUGAGUAACACGUGGAUAACCUACCUAUAAGACUGGGAUAACUUCGGGAAACCGGAGCUAAUACCGGAUAAUAUAUUGAACCGCAUGGUUCAAUAGUGAAAGACGGUUUUGCUGUCACUUAUAGAUGGAUCCGCGCCGCAUUAGCUAGUUGGUAAGGUAACGGCUUACCAAGGCAACGAUGCGUAGCCGACCUGAGAGGGUGAUCGGCCACACUGGAACUGAGACACGGUCCAGACUCCUACGGGAGGCAGCAGUAGGGAAUCUUCCGCAAUGGGCGAAAGCCUGACGGAGCAACGCCGCGUGAGUGAUGAAGGUCUUCGGAUCGUAAAACUCUGUUAUUAGGGAAGAACAAAUGUGUAAGUAACUAUGCACGUCUUGACGGUACCUAAUCAGAAAGCCACGGCUAACUACGUG